AAUCGGCGGUGAUGAUUUAAACAUACAGCUUAAUGCCAGUUCUGCUUCAGAAAAUUCUUGAUUGAAAAGGCUGUUUUAUAUCUGAGCCAUUU